AGGUUAGUUACAUAUGUAUACAUGUGCCAUGCUGGUGUGCUGCACCCACUAACUCGUCAUCUAGCAUCCAAAGAAUCACAGCAUAGUCAAUUACAUCAAAAUUGAAAGCUUUGUCCCCAGUGCCCAGAAGUGGUAUAAUGUAAAUUUUAAUUUGUUUCUUUUGUUAAUAUAUCAAAUUGCAAGUGAUUCAUAGAAAACAUUUUGAAGGAAGAGAGUAGGGUCUUGAGCUUUCUUAAAAAGUGAAUUUUAGUUGACUCUAACAUAGAGGCAUCUUGGAGGGUAAAUACUAUUUUGCCCCAGUUAUAAUUGUGUUUGAAUGAAAUGCUGGAGAAAGCGUAGUGACAUUAUUCUUUCAUUAGUUUUGUUUUUGCUUUUCGAUAUUUUGUUUAUUUUGCUAAAUACUAGUUCCUAGAAAAGUACAAAAGUCGGUAAUGGUUCUAAUAUUAGGAGACUUCAGUCUGCUCUUAGCUGAGAUUAUCUGAGACAUAUGUGCUUCUCUGUGCAUGAUCAAGACUAAGGAGUUAUUUAAUCCCUAUCAAGUAUCAGACACUGCUCUAGGUUCUGGGACAUAGCAACAAGCAAAAGGAAGUUCCAAAUGUCAUGGAACUCACAUUGUAAUUGGCAAUGAUAGACAAUAAAUGGUUAUGCAGUAUUUCCAAUGAUGACAAAUGCUGUGGGAAAAAAAAAAAGCUAGGAAAAAAUGGUUAAGGGAUGGAGAGUGAUGCAAAGGGUGCCAUUUUAUAAAGAUUAGGUAGGAGCAACACGCAAAUAAGGGACAUUCUAACAAAGACUUGAUUGGAGAGUGUGAGCCAAGUAAAUGUCUCCAGGAAGAGCUUCACAAGCAGAAGCUAUGUAGGUGCAGAGGCAGUGAAUGGAAGCAUACUUGGUUUCACCACCAAAAAGUCAGGGCUGAUGGAGUGAACUUUGAGAAGGAAAGAAUGGUGAGGUAUAAAUUCAAUCAAGUUAGCCAGAGGUCAUAUAAUAUGGGUUCCACACAAUCAUAGUAUUCUGAGUGAGAUGAAAAGUUGUUCGAGGUUUUUGAGCUUAAAUGACAUAGUCUGUUUCAUUUCAAUAGAAUCAUUCUGGCUACUAUGUGGACAAAAACUGUAGCAGGUAAAGAACAGGAGCCAAGAAGCCAGUAUGGAGCCAAAGAGCAGGCCAAGUGAGGGAUGAUGACUCACUCACUGGCUAGCUGAGUGGUUCUUGGGUAUGUAGAAAUCUUCAUUUCUUCUGAAUGUUUUGACUUAGAAGCUUCCAUCUGUGACAUAAAUGGAUAAUGACUCACUCACUGGCUAGCUCAUUAGUUCUUGGGUAUGUAGAAAUCUUCAUUUCUUUUGAAUGUUUUGACUUGCAAGCUUCCAUCUGUGACAUAAACGAAAGUCUCAUUUGAUUACCAUCCAAAGCAACUAUGAGCAAAGCUACCAUCUCUGGCUUGAAGUUAUCUCCAAGUUAUUGUCUAUGAUGAAGAACAGCAUUACCAGAAUGACAAAAAGCAAAUUUUUGAUUUUAUUUUCAUCUUUUAGCCUUAUUGAAUAGAUGUUUAUAGGAAAGAGUAUUAGUAUUUAAAAGAUUUAUAUUAAUGUCUAUUAUACCUACUUAGGUCCGUGAUUGAAUUUUAUUCUUAUCUUGUAGAGAAAAGAGAGUAAAGGAUCUUAGAUGACGGACUUGGAAUUGUUGAAUCUUUUCCCUGCAGAAGGCAGUGUUUCUUGUAUGUGAGGGUCAGGUGUGUCCUGGAAACAAAUGCAAAAAGAAGACUUAACCUUCAAGAAAAUUCAUGUCUAAUUUUGGAUCUCUCAGAGCAGCAUUAAAAAAAAAUGAAAACAAAGAGUGGAAAAAGGGAGAUUAGAUAGUAGAAUAGAUUGUUGCAUCCUGGAUUUUCAUUCUUUUCUUUUAUCUCUGCAGCCUUGAGGAUUUAUUGGCACCCAUUUCAUUUGUCUUUCUCUGGAUUUAACAUUGAGGUGAUGAGAUGGAAUAUUACCUGUAUGCUUCGGAACAUCUAUGAGUGACAUGUAAUAGUUGCCUGGGAAACUAGAGAUGAAAUUCUACAGGUCUUUGAAAUGCUUUACAUUUGAGAAUGAAGCUCAGCUGAAGUUUGAACAGCAUACUGACAUAUACCAACAAGAAUGAAAAUAACUUAACAGCAAUUUUAUAAAUUCACAUCCCCCAGAGCACCACAGAGUAAAGAAAUACUGCAUAUGGGUAACAACUGGUUCUUAGUUACUAAAUCUGAAAGAUCAAAUACAGUUAAUUACAUAAGCUUCUCUUGAGUUUUUCUGGGGGAAUAUACCAGGAGACCAUAAUCAAGGUUUCUGGUAUUGCACUAAACACGAUGAAAAACAGGAGAGAACGGAGAGGGAUCAUGUUUUACCACAAUAUGCAAUUUAUGGGAGAGAUGAAGCGCUCAGGUGGAGAUGACUAGUGUCACGUGGUGUUUUAAGUGGAUACUCACAACGCUGGAACUCACAGCAAUAACAACAAGAGAUCCUCUAUAGACUGUUGAUGUAUAGCCAUGAGAAAAAAAAAAGAAAAAUUUUUGCUCUCAAUGAGCUUGCAUUUAAGCAUCUAUAAAAGGUGAGAUUAAUAUUUACUCAGUGAACUUUGAGUAAAGCAUUGGGUGCUUCAUUAUGUGGAGGAGUCUCAUCCAAUCAGUUGAAGGUGACUGAAUGGAACUAUAGAUCGACCUCACAUAAAUGAGAGGGAAUUCUGCAACAGAUCAUCUUUGCCUUUGAACUGCAGCAUGGACUCCCCUCUGGGUCUCCUGCCUGCCAGCCCACCCUGCAGAGUGCAUUUGCCAGCCUCCACAAUCAGGUAAUUUAUCCUGUGCAUUAACAAGAGGAAGUCUAGAGCCAUGGAAACCAAGUCAGGAAACUUCUCUCUUAUUAUUAGGUCCACUGCAAAUCUAGUUGAGACUGCAAAUCGAGCUAAUGAUAUCUUAAGUUAGAACAUCAUGCCAAGAGAAGUAUGUUUUCAACCAAGAAAGCAAAAUCAACAUGAUCCUAAAUGAACUGCUUCUGCAUGUCAACAGUCUUGAUAUACCUGAGAGAGUGAGAUACAGAGUAUGUUGUUAAACUUUUUAUAAUUACAAAUAUUGCUUGUAUUUCUUUUGAAAUUUGCCACACGCUGAUAUUAAAAAUAAUAGAUAGAAAA
rnacentral:lncRNA from 1 species